rnacentral:rRNA from 1 species
UACGUAGGGUGCAAGCGUUAAUCGGAAUUACUGGGCGUAAAGCGUGCGCAGGCGGUUUUGUAAGUCAGAUGUGAAAUCCCCGGGCUUAACCUGGGAACUGCGUUUGAAACUACAAGGCUAGAGUGUGGCAGAGGGGGGUGGAAUUCCACGUGUAGCAGUGAAAUGCGUAGAGAUGUGGAGGAACACCGAUGGCGAAGGCAGCCCCCUGGGUUAACACUGACGCUCAGGCACGAAAGCGUGGGAGCAAACAGG